UACGUAGGGUGCGAGCGUUAAUCGGAAUUACCGGGCGUAAAGCGUGCGCAGGCGGUUCGUUAAGUCAGAUGUGAAAGCCCCGGGCUCAACCUGGGAACUGCAUUUGAAACUGGCGGGCUUGAGUGUGGCAGAGGGGGGUGGAAUUCCGCGUGUAGCAGUGAAAUGCGUAGAGAUGCGGAGGAACACCGAUGGCGAAGGCAGCCCCCUGGGCCAACACUGACGCUCAGGCACGAAAGCGUGGGGAGCAAACAGG
rnacentral:rRNA from 1 species